UGCAUUAGUCACUUUGGGGGAAGGCUGCUGCUAUGCUGUGAGCAGACCUUAGGAGAAGCCGCUGGCCGCCGACUGCAGGGGGAGCAAGCAUGGUGGCCGAUCUUCCAGCCUCAGCUGUGCCAUAGAUGACUGCAACCCCACCUGACACUUUGCAAUUUCCUGAAAGAUGCUAAACCACAGCAAUCUAGCUAAGCUGCUUCCACACUCCUGACCCUCCGAAAUGUGCGAGGAAGGAGACUAAAUCCUACAUUUUGAAAUAUCUGAGCUUACAAUCUGGUAUCUCAAGACCUUGAUUUCAUCAUCUUUAGCGGUGGCACAACUCUGGGGGCUUUAAAAGGCUUGAUUUACAAAUUCAGUGUCCAUGAUUUGAAGACACCACUAUCAGUCUGAAGAGAAAGGGAAAAGAGGCCAGCUGGAUCCAGGAGAGAGGCCAGAUUAUUUAUGCAUCCACAAAAUUUUUUCUAUCCUUUAAUGGCUUAAAAAAAAAAAAGAGAUGUUUUUCUUUUACAAAGAAUAAAUACAAUUGUACUUCUGGAGGAAAAAGAAAUAAAAUCUAAACUCUGA